GUGCUUGCUUUGGCAGCACAUAUACUAAAAUUGGAACGAUACAGAGAAGAUUAACAUGGCCCCUGCAUAAGGAUGACACACAAAUUUGUGAAACAUUCCAUAAUUUU